AUCUCUAUCUUUCUCACCUUCAAAGAUGGGAGUACUUGCUUUGUCCCCAACAAAGGUGGGAGCUCCAGCUUCCACCGUGUCUGUCCAUUUUAAUCCUCCUUCUGUUCCUGUUCGCAUGAAAAUUUAUUGCCAGAAAACUGAAGCUACUGCUGAGAGCUUACCUAAAAGACUGCCUCCAGGGCCUGUCAAACUGCCUAUUAUUGGAAA
rnacentral:misc_RNA from 1 species